rnacentral:rRNA from 1 species
CAGCAGCCGCGGGAAUACGAAGGGGGCUAGCGUUGCUCGGAAUGACUGGGCGUAAAGGGCGCGUAGGCGGGUGGCACAGUCAGAUGUGAAAUUCCCGGGCUUAACCUGGGGGCUGCAUUUGAUACGUGUUGUCUAGAGUGAGGAAGAGGGUCGUGGAAUUCCCAGUGUAGAGGUGAAAUUCGUAGAUAUUGGGAAGAACACCGGUGGCGAAGGCGGCGACCUGGUCCUUUACUGACGCUGAGGCGCGAAAGCGUGGGGAGCAAACAGGAUUAGAUACCCCAGUAGUCCCUGUCUCUUAUAC